CCUACGGGUGGCAGCAGUGAGGAAUAUUGGUCAAUGGGCGCGAGCCUGAACCAGCCAAGUCGCGUGAGGGAUGACUGCCCUACGGAUUGUAAACUUCUUUUAUAAGGGAAUAAAGUCAGGGACGUGUGCCCUUUUGUGUGUACUUUAUGAAUAAGGAUCGGCUAACUCCGUGCCAGCAGCCGCGGUAAUACGGAGGAUCCGAGCGUUAUCCGGAUUUAUUGGGUUUAAAGGGGGCGUAGGUGGGUUGUUAAGUCAGUUGUGAAAGUGUGGGGCUCAACCGUAAAAUCGCAAUUGAUACUGGCAGUCUUGAGUACAGGAGAGGUAGGCGGAAUGCGCGGUGUAGCGGUGAAAUGCGUAGAUAUCGCGCAGAACUCCGAUUGCGAAGGCAGCUUACUAACUCGACACUGACACUGAGGCUCGAAAGCGUGGGUAUCAAACAGGAUUAGAUACCCGUGUAGUC
rnacentral:rRNA from 1 species